rnacentral:misc_RNA from 1 species
CAACUUCCACCUGGCAUACCUCUUCAGUUAUGCGUCAAGGCUUGUAUCGCCUAGAGCGUAUUGUGGGUUUCCUGUGUUGCAUGCCUUGUUGAUGGUAUCUUUCUAAUCGAUGGAAGUCCCUUUUCGUUGUGUGUCSCAUUUGAGAURCAUGAUGAACCUUGAAGCGGUUCUAUGAUCCAUUCUGUUGAUGCACAUGUAUUGAUGGAUUGGCCCAUUGAGCUUUGCUUGGUCUGUCGGAUACGGAACAUGAUGUGGGCAUGGGUUCUUUCAUGAUCCUUGUGUUGCCCUUGUUAGGUGUUUUCUAAAACGACAGUUCAUGCGCGCCUAGGCUCGUACCUGCGCGAUGUUCUAUGUCGAAGAGGAAUGCUACCUGGUUGAUCCUGCCAGUAGUCAUAUGCUUGUCUCAAAGAUUAAGCCAUGCAUGUGUAAGU